GCAGAGAAGAAGUCUGCAGUUUCUGUCCCUGCGGUGAGGGAGAAAGAAGGGAAUGAUGAAGUCAGUGCAGCAGAUCUGAGGACUGCCUGAAGGGGAAACCAGUGAGACCUGGCCGAAGGUUUGAAUCCCGAAGCAGCCAUACUGUGACCCCAUGAGUCAGAGGAGAGCUGCAAUGAUGGAAGAUCAGAAAGGGGGAGCUGAACCAGGCAGAGCUAAUUGACAGAAGGAGGCACCACCCUGUGGUGAGAAGUAAGAAGAAAUUGUGUUAUGUAUCAAGAACAGAAGCAGAUUAUCAUCCAUUGUAGCCAUUUCCAGACUAAUAUGAAUCCUGUCUCCAGAUCUGAUGAUGCAAGUUAGUCUCUCAACUGAGAUUUCACUAAAGUACAUGUGGGCAAUUGUACAGCACAGUAUAUGUUUGUUUAUCAUACGGGGAUCAUU